rfam:Ovis aries breed Texel chromosome 2, whole genome shotgun sequence.
UCCCUUAUAGCUUAGUUGGUAAAGAAUCUGCCUGAAAUGCAGGAGACCCGAGUUCAAUUCCUGGGUCGGGAA